GUUGGGGAACAGACGAGCAACCGCCAUUUUGCGCAUUAAUUCACCAGAGGCGGUCAGGUUGUCUUAACGCAGGCAGAGGGGUGUGGCAGAUCUCCAACCGCUCGGGGUCCCGCGACUUCCAUUAAUGAAUUCGCACACUGGCCGUCACCACGCAACACACCGACGAUAUUCUGUCCAGAGGAAAAGUGUAGUGUGUUGAAAGCAUGUGGAAGAAAACCCCGGAUAUACAUAUACUUGUCUUCAAGGACGUGAUUUGCAGAUCUUCUGCAUUGCACAAAGUCGGAAUACUUGGUUGCAAGUGACAGAAAUUCAAAUCCUCCAAAAAGGAUUUAUUGGUUCAUGUAAUUGGGAAGUGCAAGAGUGUAUCUUACGGCAAGAGUGCAUCUGGAGACUCAAAUACUGCUGUCAAGACUCUCUCUCCAACUCUUUGUUUGCAUUGCUUUAUUCUUUUAGAGUCUCCCCUAGUGGCAGACAAAUGGCUGCCAGACAAACUCAAAUCUCCCAGUUAAGCAAUUGCAAUGGAGGAAAUAAGCCAAAUAACUCUCUACCAAUGUCCAUAUCUCAAUUUCAGGUUCUGUGUGCAUACUCCUAUGAUUAGCAGCCCCAGCACUAAUGCAUAGAGGAGAUAUUUCCCAAAGAAUUCUGAAGAAAGGGAGGUGGGAAAAUUAGGCAGAAAAGAAGAACAAUUCCCAUAGUCUAUUAUACCAAUGUUUCCCCACCUUAUAGUAAAGCAACUUUUUAAAAAAUUCUAGACAUAUUACAAACCAAUGUUUCUGUCCACUUAAAAUCAUUUAAUGUACUGCAUGUUUGUCUCUUUUUGGCUGUGCAGCAUUUGAAUCCCUGUCCUUUCUGGAAUUUGCCACUGUGAGAGCGUUAGUGGGAAGGCAGGCCACAUCCCCCAUCACA